CGUGUAGGCGGUUUGGUAAGUCAGAUGUGAAAGCCCUGGGCUUAACCCAGGAAGUGCAUUUGAUACUGCCAAUCUUGAGUAUGGGAGAGGAGAGUGGAAUUCCCAGUGUAGAGGUGAAAUUCGUAGAUAUUGGGAGGAACACCCGUGGCGAAGGCGACUCUCUGGACCAAUACUGACGCUGAGACGCGAAAGCGUGGGGAGCAAACA
rnacentral:rRNA from 1 species